rnacentral:lncRNA from 1 species
GAAGGGGUGAAGACGGUGGUGAACUGCGCGGAGAAGGGGCGAAGACGGUGGUGAACUGCGCGGGGAAGGGGCGAAGACGGUGGUGAACUGCGCGGGGAAGGGGCGAAGACAGUGGUGAACUGCAGGGAAGGGGCGAAGACGGUGGUGAACUGCGGGGAAGGGGCGAAGACGGUGGUGAACUGCGGGGAAGGGGCGAAGACGGUGGUGAACUGCCUUCGGAACCAAAAAGAAGCUUCCCAGAGCCGGGGCCAGGAGCCCCAAGCGCCCUCUAGCAGCAAACACAGAAGGUAUAGGGAGGGAGGAGUCCAGGGCUGGCGGGGUGGCUGGAGGCCCCGGGCUUGUACCCCAGCACCCUCUCCUUCCCCAACAGGAGCUCUGUGUGUCGUCUGAGCAGUCGCGAGAAGAUUUCCCUCCAGGACUUGUCCAAGGAGCGCCGGCCUGGUGGGGCUGGGGGGCCCCCCAUCCAGGACGA